CAGCCUCUCUAGCUUUUCUUUGGAAGGAGCAAGAAAAAAAUGAAGUACAAGAAACGGAAAGAACUAUUCCUUCCAGCCCAGAACACUGUCUCUGAACAGCAAGAUGGCUUUGAAACGCUUUCACAACGAAGGUGUGCUCCACUGGGCACCACAACAUACGGUUCAGACGUUUAAAGCCUGUCUCAGCCCAAUUUCCUCUCCAUUUGCUCCCUGGGUAAGUGUACAUCAGAAUCACCUGGAGAGCUUCUUCAAACAAAAUGUGGGUUCCCCCCUCUUCGGAGUUUCUGACUUAGAGGGUCUGAGG
rnacentral:lncRNA from 1 species